UAGUGUCAUCUUGAGCUAGAAACGAUAUUUCUGUUGCUCAUAUCCCCACCGUUAUGUAAAAUUUUCACCGCACCCAACAACAUUAUUGGACAUAACACACCGAGCGAACGUAUAUACCCUUACGCUGCUCGAAUUGCUCGUAUCUAAUAAAGAGAAUACGUUACAUUAUUAAUCUCAAUAAUGUAACAUCGUGUGCAGCCUCGUGGAGGAUCGAUGUAUUAUCAAAUUUCUACAAGUGACUGUUCAUUCUAUUUUUUUCAUCUGCAGAAUUUAUUUUUUAAGUAACUUUCAUGUGUCGGUCAUGAUUCUGCGUCAAUCGAUAGGCAACAAUAUUAAGUUACUUUCAACUCAUAAUAAACUAAUUUGUUCCACCGUAUUGUAUUAAGAAUGCCUCGAAUUUCAUGUUUCAAUGUUUAUUAAUCGACGAUCUUACUUCGCUAUGUCAGACAGUUAAACAAUAAAGUUCUGUUUCUUUCGCGUUUCCUUUCUCUUUGGGUGUCAAAAACGUGUAUGACUUUUGUACAGGGAUUCUUUUGCGAGUGUGAUGCAUCCUAUCUCGACUUGUCCAUGACCCAUUCCCUUUUAGACGCGAGAACCUUUUUUUUGCAUUUGACCCAUUUUUCUUAAUAGCCUCUGUUCUAUAUGUGAACAGCGUUCUGCAUUCUUUAUUUCGGCAGUGCUCGUCAAUGACAACUUAGAUUGACUCAUGACGAAUCACCGUUACGUUAUCAUAAAUGGAAAUCAUGAUGUCGUUGGAAAAACUAUUUUUUCAAGAAUAAAAUAGCAUUUACGGAUAUUUUAUUUAUGGAAUCGGCGCUGAUAAUUUCUCAUACCCGAUAAAUAUAAUUUUGUUUUAUCGGUGCCCAAAAAUAAUACCGUAUCCUUUGAAUCAUUGAGAGCCACUGACUGUCACGGAAGAAGUUCAGUUUAUUUGUAUCGUUCAGAGAUGUAUCGUUGGCGUUAUAAAUAAACAAUGAUAUUUGAGGGAUUCACGUGGAAUGUAUUCAUACUUAUCAGUAUUAAUAUUAAUUUUAAAUUACAUUAGCAAAAAGUGCCGAGCGUAAAUAUUAGCGACCAAGUUUAGCUUGGCGUAUAAGUAAAAAUAUUUUAAUAUUUCAUGUACUGACACUAUUUAAAGCUGAAAUGUUACCAGGAAGACCUCCCGUUACAGAGAACCCUUUGGGACUCUCUUGGCACGAUAGUGCAUGGAUUCCUGUGUUAAAUCCAAAUAAUAUAAUGGAUUACUUUUCUGAAAGGAGUAAUCCUUUUUACGAUAGAACGUGCAACAAUGAAAUUGUUAAAAUGCAACGCUUAAGUCCUGAUCAAUUGCAGAGUAUGACAGGAUUGGAGUAUAUUCUUUUACACGUGCAAGAACCCAUUUUGUAUGUUAUUAGGAAACAACAUCGACAUUCACCUACUGCAGCAACACCGCUUGUAGAUUAUUAUAUUAUUGCAGGUGUCGUGUAUCAAGCACCUGAUUUAGCAUCUGUUGUGAGCUCUAGACUGUUAUCCACAGUGCACCAUUUACAGUCUGCUUUUGAAGAAGCUAGCUCGUGCUCCAGAUAUCAUCCAAGUAAAGGUUACUAUUGGGACUUCAAAAAUGGCAAAGCACUGGCAGCAAAGAAAGAAACACCUGUUCGCGAGGAGCCCAGCUCUCUGUUUCAACGUCAAAGAGUGGAUAUGUUACUUGCUGAACUUACUCGUAAAUUUCCAUUGCCUGUUCCAAAACCUGUUCAUCAACCUAUCGAGUCUUCCAUAGAGAUUAAGCAAGAAGUGAAAGUCGAGAAAAAAGACAUGAAACCACCACCAGAAAAGAAGCCAAAAGUUAAUUAACGAGGAUUCGCAUUAUUCUAUAAGAUAAUGUAUAUGAACUUAGGUUUAAGCAUGCAUUUAAUAUUGUCUCUGUUCUCACCACAUUACAGGGACUUAACAGUUUAAGUAAUUGUAUUUUUUUCCUGUAAAAACUGAUGUAUAUAACGAUGAAAUAUCAAGACUGGGGUAGAAUUAAAAAUCAAAUAUUUUUAUUUCAUCGUUCUUAUUUUUUCUUGCGCCACGGACAAUCGAGAUUAUCAAUUCUCUCCGUUGUAUCUUGUUUUAUUUUCUUCGCAUCGGAAAUUUUUGGUUUGCGCCGUACUUUUCUUUUAAUAUUGGAACCGGGACACUUGGAUUUCCGAUAUUGAAGACAGCCUUCGUGUUUCGUCGACCGAAAUAGAGGGGAAUAAGUUGAAAUGGUGUUCGUCGCGAUCUGCUAAAAUUAACCGUGCAUUAUUUCAUUAGAAUUAUCAAAACCAAUCUGUCACAUACUUUCACACCGUAUUCUAUAUAGGAUGGAAUACGUUGAAUGAUGCUUUUCUUAUUAAAACAUCUAACAAGCAUUUUCGUAGCAAAGGAUAUCAAGCGUCAAACCGACAUCGUUUGAUCUUUUAUUUUCCUACGGAUGAAUCGUGCACGACCAAAGGACAAUGAUAUGCGAUGGGAACACGUGUGGCGAGGAACGGUUGGACAUGGGGCUGUACGGGACGAACGACGAGGAGGAUCACUUCAUUGAAAACCUAAAACACGUGAAAUGUAAAUUGAUUCAGCUGGUACGCGAACAACUGCAAACGGCUCGUAACAGACAAGUAAAACUCAUGCGACAAGCAACGUUCAAUCAUUUCAACCCUCUGUAGGCCCAUGUAACUUUAAACUCACAUAUCAGUAUAUUGGCAUCUUGUUGAUUUAUUUCAUUUUGGUUAUCUUAAACUUUUAUACGCUCAGGCAUGAAAGUUUAACGUGAUUGUAACUUGAAAGUUACAAAAUAUGUUAUAAUAAUGAACAAAAAUUCGGCCCAUAAAGGGUAAAAAGAAUUCUUUAACAUAUUAAACCACCAACCUUUUUCCGUAGUACACGCUGACCUCGACGGCAGGAUCGGAGGGAUUAUUCCCGUUGGAACGAAAGCAUACAAAAUAUUUGUUCUUCGACGAACUAAAUGAGAACGCGGCCAAGCAGCCCGCGACGCCGCACAGCAUUCCUCAGAAAACAUCACCGUCGCCUCGUCGAGGAAAUUUUCUACAGCGUUUAACGAGAAUACGCCGACGCAUCUGUAUCAUAAUCCUGAUUGUUGCAAUCGUUGCGCUCGUAUUCGUACUGUAUUUCAUUUACUUCCGCGCGUACCUCUGCAGCAAGGGCCAGUCUUGCGUUACGUCCUUCCGUUACGCGCACGCGAAACACACGCUCUUUUAAAUGCGUAUCAAGAUCGAAUUCCAUAUAAUAACUAUUAUUCUAAUAUGUUGUUCAAUUUUGGUCGCCGUUUGACCCAUGAAAAUGGUAAAAUUUAGAAUUCAAUAUUAACCCUUUGCACUGGAGAGAGACGGACGAUCUGAUACAGCAAAAUUAUAAACCUUGGUAUUUACCAUUAGCUGUAUACUGCAUCAAUACGUGAAAUAUUGAAAGAAAAUAGAAAUAAAUAAUAAAUAAAUUCAUUUUAAAGAAUCUCCUCUACAUCUAGUUAGAAAAUUGUAUUGAACAUUUCAAGUGAGAAACUUUCGAGUGCAAAGGGUUAAACCGGAACUUCCACUAUUCUUACGGUAAAUAGGAAAUCUGUUCUUUUACAAUUAUUCGGAAGAUACAAAUGAUUCUCUCGGUAAUGAUGAGAUAGAUCGAAUGAAAUGAAAGAAAUAACCGACUUCCGUUGCUUAGUUCUACCGUUGUCGUGGAAUAAGUAAACGUUCUAAGACUUGACACAAAAUAUAUUAAACUUGGAAUAAUACACCAUG